UGACAACAUACAUUGAUGUCGUGUCAAUGUUCUAGAUCUUUUUCUGAUUUUUUUAAAUAUAUUACGGCAUUCGGUGCACCAUAAGUUUUUCUUUGAGACAUAAAAAAAAGUCCAUAAGGACUAGCACGCAGGAAAUAUUUUUAUAGAAGAAACCCACAGGGUGAGAUCGCGAAAAUUCGCUCUUGAUGGGAGUCAAACCCUGGUCUGCGAGGAAACACCACUGUGUCCUUGCCACUGGGCUACAGCCCAGUUUUCUUUUUUCGAGACAUCACAAGUGUGUGCACUGGAUACAUAUUCCCCACAACUAAAGCCUGAUAGAUCCUCUGCCCGGCCCAUACUGGCCCAACAAGUGCCAGCCCGUCGUGGAAGAACUCGCCGUCUACCUCAGUCACUAUACACACGCGCGCCGGAGCGAGGGAGCGCGCAUGUCGCCGGCGGGCUGCGCCGUGCGGCCGGCCCGAUUCCCAUCAGUACCUGGACAGGGCUUACCGCCAACCCGUGGCAAGUCCUCAACGCUGCAGGCCGCACCCGAUUCCGCCGUCGGAGGGGCUCGAUCUCGCCGGUGGACCGCCUCUUCCACAACAAGGUGCGCAGCCGCCAAGUCCAAGCGCGCCUCCAAGUUCAGUUCAUGGCGCACGAACGACGAGGCCGGCCGACGACAGCGACCCCGACCGAGAGACCAGACCAAAUGGGGAGAAGUGAAGACCUGCUGUUAAGGAGACCCAGAAGGCCUGGAAACUCAACCCACAGAAUUUGACCAAUGUGGUUAUUAUUACUUUUGCGAAAUCAUUGUGGCUUAAGUUUGAUCCACUGUGAGCUUGUAUUUCAUUUAAAGCUGCAUAUCUGAACUAAGUUUUUUGUGUGUGUGCGUGUGUGCAGGUUAGCUGAAUCAAGCCAUUAGAGACUGGACAUUGUGUAGGUUAGCAAAAUCAAACUAUCAUAGUAUGUGUUUCUGUUGCUGGAUUUAUAUGGCUAGUAAAUGGCCUGGUAGAAUUGUUUUUUAUUUUCUUUUUGAAGCAAACCUGUAAGGAUUUCUUAUCACAGAGAUUUUUUAUAAAGUAUACACUAGGGCCUACGAGGCAAAAGAAUAAAAA